CGCGGAGCGAGAAGGAAGGGGGGCGUCCGCUCCCGGCUCAGCUCCGGAGCCCCCCCGGCUCCGUAACCCCAAUCUUGCCCCCCCCACCCUCCUGGAGAGGGAAGGAGUGCGCGUUAGGAGGGUCUGCGGGUGCCCGUGUGGGGGGCGGGAUGGGAGCUGCGAGUGUUUUGCACGGGAUUUUUAGAGAUGUUGACGGUUAUAAAUGUUAAACAAAUCUGACCGGUUGGACCCGGUGCCGUACAAUUCCAUCUGCACAAAAAUACAGGUUACAAACAAAGGGAAGCAUCAGCAUUAAAAGAAAAGGGAGACAACAACAACAACAAAAAAAAAAAAAGGAGGAGGAAAGCAAACGAACAAAAACCCCGAACCGAACCCAACGCGACGUCCUCAGCUCCACGCAGCGCCGAUCCCGUGAAGUUGGAGCGGGCAGAAACACGCACACGGGGGGGGGGACGACGACCAGAAAACCCACCUUUUUACAACAAAAGGUUUUUCUUUCCGAAAAGGGAAAAAAAUAGAAGAAACGCUCUUAGGAAACGAACGGGACUGCGGGAGCCGAACCUCCUCCCAAAGCACGCCGGGUUUGCGGGGUUGGAAGGCCGACGCCAGAAGAGUUGAAGUUAAGGAAAGCAGCGGGGAGGGGGCGGCCCCGCUUUUCGCUCCCCCCGCUCGUGUGACCCCCAUAACCCCGCAGCAGCGCCGGGGAGGGGUUGAAGUCACACCGCACGCGUUUCUAUGGGGGAAGGGGGGGGAGAAAACAAAGUUGAAAUGUUUUCAUUUCUACCUCUUUUCUUUUUUCCUCCCCGUACAUCGCAAAGAGGCGCACAAAGCGGAGCUGCCGGGGGGUCCCGGAGUGGCCCCCGCCGCCGCCCGGCUCUCACGUGGCCCCGCGGCCGCCCCGGGCGGACACAAAGAGGAUUCGUCGUGGAGGUGUUUCGGGGGGUGCCAUUUUUCUGGUUGGUUUUUUAAUUAUGAUCUCUUCCCCCCCCCCCCCCUCCCGGUUUGUUUGCUUAAUUAUUAUUAAUUUGUUUUUUUUCCCUCUCUCUCUCUGCAAAAAUAAACUCCCAACAUCUUAGAUUUUGUUUCUUUAUUGUACAAUUUAUAAAACAUCGCGCUGCCCUCCCCCCCCCCCCACCCCCCCGCG
ensembl:lncRNA